UCCCGUGUGGCGCAGUUAGUAGAGCAUGGUGUUUGCAACGCCAGGGUUGUGGGUUCGAUUCCCACAGGGGGAC
rnacentral:tRNA from 1 species